rnacentral:rRNA from 1 species
CAUCCAGACUCCUACGGGAGGCAGCAGUGGGGAAUAUUGCACAAUGGGGGAAACCCUGAUGCAGCGACGCCGCGUGAGUGAAGAAGUAUUUCGGUAUGUAAAGCUCUAUCAGCAGGGAAGAAAAUGACGGUACCUGAUUAAGAAGCCCCGGCUAACUACGUGCCAGCAGCCGCGGUAAUACGUAGGGAGCAAGCGUUGUCCGGAAUUACUGGGUGUAAAGGGAGCGUAGGCGGGAUAGUAAGUUGAUUGUUAAAACUAUCGGCUCAACUGGUAGAUGCGAUCAAAACUGCAAUUCUUGAGUGAAGUAGAGGCAGGCGGAAUUCCUAGUGUAGCGGUGAAAUGCGUAGAUAUUAGGAGGAACACCAGUGGCGAAGGCGGUCUGCUGGACAGCAACUGACGCUGAGGCGCGAAAGCGUGGGGAGCAAACAG